UACGUAGGGGGCUAGCGUUAUCCGGAAUUACUGGGCGUAAAGGGUGCGUAGGUGGUUUCUUAAGUCAGAGGUGAAAGGCUAUGGCUCAACCGUAGUAAGCCUUUGAAACUGGGGAACUUGAGUGCAGGAGAGGAGAGUGGAAUUCCUAGUGUAGCGGUGAAAUGCGUAGAUAUUAGGAGGAACACCAGUCGCGAAGGCGGCUCUCUGGACUGUAACUGACACUGAGGCACGAAAGCGUGGGGAGCAAACAGG
rnacentral:rRNA from 1 species